UACGGAGGGUGCAAGCGUUAUCCGGAUUCACUGGGUUUAAAGGGUGCGUAGGCGGGCAGGUAAGUCAGUGGUGAAAUCUCCGAGCUUAACUCGGAAACUGCCAUUGAUACUAUUUGUCUUGAAUAUUGUGGAGGUAAGCGGAAUAUGUCAUGUAGCGGUGAAAUGCUUAGAUAUGACAUAGAACACCAAUUGCGAAGGCAGCUUACUACACAACGAUUGACGCUGAGGCACGAAAGCGUGGGGAUCAAACAGG
rnacentral:rRNA from 1 species